GAUGAACGCUAGCGGCAGGCUUAAUACAUGCAAGUCGAGGGGCAGCAGGGUUGUAGCAAUACAAUCGCUGGCGACCGGCAAACGGGUGCGUAACACGUACGCAACCUUCCCGUUACUGUGGCAUAGCCCAGGGAAACUUGGAUUAAUACCACAUAUUAUAUUGAGGGGGCAUCCCUUUGAUAUCAAAGCUUCGGCGGUAACGGAUGGGCGUGCGGUUGAUUAGGUAGUUGGCGGGGUAACGGCCCACCAAGCCUACGAUCAAUAGCUGAUGUGAGAGCAUGAUCAGCCACACGGGCACUGAGACACGGGCCCGACUCCUACGGGAGGCAGCAGUAAGGAAUAUUGGGCAAUGGACGAAAGUCUGACCCAGCCAUGCCGCGUGAAGGAUUAAGGUCCUCUGGAUUGUAAUCUUCUUUUCUCUGGGGCGAAAACCAGCUAUUCUUAGCUAUUUGACAGUACCAGAGGAAUAAGCACCGGCUAACUACGUGCCAGCCGCCGCCGUAACAC
rnacentral:rRNA from 1 species